UUUGAUCACUGUUUUGGUACUUAGAUGCAAAGGAAAGAUCGAGGUUUUGCUUCAUAAAACAAAGGUGCUAUACUUUGAAAAAGCUUGCGGGCAGGUAGCAGAAAGGACAAAGAAAAGAUAUGGACAGAUGCUGUAAUUGAUGCUGUGGUUGUCACGCUGAGUAAUUUUCGAAAGUAAUCCGGAAUUGCUUUAGUUUUGCAUUACCUCGCUAUUUGAUUGGUUCAAAAAAACUCACACAACUUUCUCGACUGAUAAGAUUCCAAACUAAAUACAACAUCACGCGUUUCUCAGCGCUUCAGACAGUUUGCUUCCAGUUCUCAUCGGUGCAGUUUCUUGUGCUCUUUCCUUCGUUUUUAUGGGCUGUUGAAAUUACUUUGAUUUUGGACAGUUAUACUUUUUUAAAAACUCUAUCAAAGGUACAUCGUAUAAUGAAUUGGUGAUCUCUAUUAAGAAAGAUCCUGUUUCAGAAAAUACGGGGAGAAUACAGAUUUUCUAUGGAAUGUUCCAGCGAUUUCAUGCCAAAAUAUUCAUGGAAUAAAUCCUUAAAGUUAGUCUA